GUUAGUGCUGUGAGGAAGCUGAAUUUGGACUAGAGUUUCUGAUCUAGUGGUUGAAGACAAAACCCUUGGCUGUCUGAGCACUAAA